UACGGAGGAUGCGAGCGUUAUCCGGAUUUAUUGGGUUUAAAGGGUGCGUAGGCGGACUGUCAAGUCAGCGAUAAAAUUGAGAGGCUCAACCUCUUCCCGCCGUUGAAACUGGUGGUCUUGAGUGGAUGAGAAGUACGCGGAAUGCGUGGUGUAGCGGUGAAAUGCAUAGAUAUCACGCAGAACUCCGAUUGCGAAGGCAGCGUACCGGCAUCCAACUGACGCUGAGGCACGAAAGCGUGGGGAUCAAACAGG
rnacentral:rRNA from 1 species